CUACACAGAUUCAACAACAGCAAACACUCAUACAACAACUAGCACAGGCCCAAGGGAUACACGUCCCGGUGCCCCCCACCACCUCCCGUUCAUUAUCCUUGGUCUUCACCUCCACCUAUACCUACAUCUCCAUCUACCGAACAUCAGACCCCUCCAGCUACCUUGCCGACGCAUGAACGAGAAGAUAGGUUAG